AAUAAAUCAUCACAGAGUUCAUAGUUCCAUUCUGAAAUAUAGUCCCCAUUCUUUUUAAAAUCCAUUCAACACUCAUUAAAAAUCAUUUAGCAAGUCAAAUCCUGCUUCACCACUACAAAAGAAUAUAGAUAAUAAAGAAGUUCACUCCUCUGUCUGUAUUCAACACCAUACAUUUACAACGGUAUUAUAACCACAAUGGACUUCCAACAAAAAGAAUGUCUUCUCAGCAGUAUAAGAUCAUUAAUUUCCUCAAUUUUCAAAUCUCGCAAAAAGGAGAAAGAAUGCACGAGGACAACAGAAAAAUUACUAAAUAUCCUGUCUGAACACAUUUAAAAAAAGAAAAAAAUCUUUACGUCAAAAACAUAUAUCACAAUCCCCGAGGAGGCACACGUCUAAUUUUUUUGGCACAUGUCAAAGGGUUUCAGUCAACACUCCAAAGGCCAAAAAAAAAAAAAAUGUUCAAGUCUCUUCAAUGACAAGAUUAAAUGAACACAGCCCAUUAAUUAUGCCGGGGUGUAUAAUGUCACCAAGACACACAUUUACAAAUAGACAGCAUUGCUGGUCGGUAAAUAUCCACUACUACUACGCGGACUCUAGCGUUACAGUACUACAGCCACACCACAGCUUGGCUGACAUGCCGGUUACAGAUAGAGACCCCCGAGCACAUACGCUGUCUGACGAAGCAAUGGUCACUUGAUUUUGCCACCUACAUUGUGUGCGUGUGCUCAAAGAGGCCACUCUGACAAACUCUUCUAAUGGACAAAAGGAGUACACCACACAAAGUAACACAUAGAUCAGCAUGUCCAAAAUAAAGUGGACCACCAUUUAUCACCUCCUUACACAGGAGAGGCAGGUGCUAGUCCUGUCGAACAACCUUAAUAAGAUAACCAGUUUUUGUGGCGUUAUAAAGGACUGGGGAUUGUUCAUCAUUACUUCAGUCAAGAGGAUUCCUAUUAUAGAAGAACCAUUGCAUUUAUGUUGUGCUUUCCUGAACUUUGCACAAUUGUAAAUAUGGAUUACAUUUUUCAUUUCUUGGGUUUUAGCAAUGAUGGGGCCCCAGGACUAUAAAGAAAAUGAGUUCAUAAAAAAUUCUCAAAAAAAAAGAGCAAGUCAUGUCCUUAUCACUAUAAAAAAAGACCUCAGAGAUGAAAAUCAUUCAAUACACCAGACUAGGAGUCUAAAACGUGGUUCCCUUAAGCCAACUCCGCUAUCAAGCUAUAAAGAAGAGCAAAUAAAGGGGUGGGUAUAAUGUGUAUUCCUUUCAUAUAUCUCCAUGUAAGAAUUAUUAUCUCAAAUGAACAUAUUUGAUGAUAAAAAAUUUGAAGAGAUACAAUUUGCCAAAUCUUAGUUUCAAAUUAACGGCUCUAAAUUUUAUCAGCUUUCUUGCAUGUUUAAUGCCAUUAAACGUAACUGGAUCUGUUUCCAUUCACUCAAUGGAAAGGAAAGAAGUGUGAAAUUACAAGUAGUUGAAAUAUUUAGAAGUCAGAAGGAUAUGAAUUGAAUGACUUGAAUUUACCCAGGUACACAUGGCUAAUACAUAUAGUGAAUGUUUCUCUACUUUUCAAAAUAUUUGACCAAUGGCUAUAUUACAUUAAAAUUCAUAUCCAUAAACGAAGCAUCACUUAUUUUCCCUAUUUUAAGUAGUUAAUGCUCUCAAACACUUUGUGUAAAAUAUGUAUAAGCAGGGAAAAGUUACCAGUAUCUAUUCAAACCUUAUUCU